rnacentral:SRP_RNA from 1 species
CCGUGCUAGGCGGGGCGCUAGCGGUGCCCUGUACCCGCAAUCCGCUCUAGCGGGGCUGAAUCCCCUCCCGAGGGGCUCAGGCCUCCGGGGCCAGCACGUCGACUGGUGGCGUCGAUGGCCCGGGUCCCGCGCGAUGUCGGCCCGUGAACCAGGUCAGGUCCGGAAGGAAGCAGCCUUAAGCGGUCACCGGCAGGCGCAGCGGGGAAGCCCGGGCCGGAGUCGCCGGCGACGCCAGCGCCCGGAGAACCGGCUUCGACGGAGGGUGCACGG